rfam:Triticum aestivum genome assembly, contig: Triticum_aestivum_CS42_TGACv1_scaffold_592179_7BS
CUUGUACUCCUUCUGUCCCAAAAAGCUUGUCGUAGAUUUGUCUAGAUACAGACGUAUCUAGACACGUUUUAGUGUUAGAUACAUCCGUAUAUAGAUAAAUGCUGUAUAAGACAAGCUUUGUGGGACGGAGGUAAUAAAUG